UACGAGGGGUGCAAGCGUUAAUCGGAUUUACUGGGCGUAAAGCGCGCGUAGGCGGCUUGUUAAGUCGGAUGUGAAAGCCCUGGGCUCAACCUGGGAACUGCAUUCGAUACUGGCGAGCUAGAGUACGAUAGAGGGUGGUAGAAUUCCUAGUGUAGCGGUGAAAUGCGUAGAUAUUAGGAGGAAUACCAGUGGCGAAGGCGGCCACCUGGAUCGAUACUGACGCUGAAGUGCGAAAGCGUGGGGAGCAAACAGG
rnacentral:rRNA from 1 species